GAUUAACGCUGGCGGCAUGCCUAAUACAUGCAAGUCGGACGAGGGUAGCAAUACCCUAGUGGCGAACGGGUGAGUAACACGUGGGAAAUCUGCCUUUAAGUCGAGGAUAACUGCUGGAAACGGCAGCUAAAACUGGAUAGGUUAUAUUGGGGCAUCCUGAUAUAAUUAAAAGUCCUUUACGGGAAUGCUUAAAGAUGAUCCUGCGUCGCAUUAGCUAGUUGGUGAGGUAGCGGCUCACCAAGGCGACGAUGCGUAGCUGUGCUGAGAGGCAAAACAGCCACACUGGGACUGAGACACGGCCCAGACUCCUACGGGAGGCAGCAGUAGGGAAUUUUCGGCAAUGGGGGAAACCCUGACCGAGCAAUGCCGCGUGAAUGAAGAAGGUCUUCGGACUGUAAAAUUCUGUUAUUUGUGGAAGAAGGUAGUUGGAGGAAAUGCCAAUUACUUGACGGUACCAAAUGAGAAAGCCCCGGUAACUAUGUGCCAGCAGCCGCGGUAAACACG
rnacentral:rRNA from 1 species